UGGGCACUAGGUUGGAAGAGUACAGUGGAC
rnacentral:piRNA from 1 species